GAUAUCCGGUCUCACCGUCUGCCGGUGCGAGCAGCUCCUCUUGCUCUCGGGCGUGAGGCAGCAGCUGCCGGCGUUGCGUGGGGCUCCCGGAGCACAAUGCUUUAGCUAGGCCGGGGUCCACGCCCUGCGCCGAAAGCAUCAGCUGGAAGCGGCGCCGCGCGGAGCCGUCAUCCAACGCCGCGGCCACUCGGGCGGCGCCUUGGUCUUGUGUUUCCGCCUGUCCGCUAAUCCAAAGAAUGGCGCCUCCUGCUGGCGGGCGGGGUGGAGCUCAGAAGCUGCAGGGAUUGAGAGCUCCUGGCAUACAAACUGGUGGUCUUAACUCCAGCCCUCUCACCUAGCCUAAUGACCAGGUCCCGCAGAUCCGGCGGCCCCGCACCAUCCAGGCAAAGCAACGCUUCUUCCACCUCCAGGGUAUGGCCCACGCUGCGGCCCAGAGGGUUAUCCAUGGCGGUCAGGGCUGCGGCGACCUUCAGCCCCAGGCUCACUCCCACUCUAACCUGGGGAGGCAUUAUUCAGUAUCCGGCAUUAUCAAAUCCCAUACCUGCUGUCCCUGGGUUAAGGUGUCAGUAAAGGCUUAGGUUAGAGAUCAGAAACCAACACUGCCAGGCCUCAGAGGGGAUGGGGGUGUUCUGGUUGGUUGCCCUAAGUGGCGGGGGUUCUGUGGAGGAUUUCCCCAGGUCCGCAGUCAGGACAGCUUUGAUUGGAUAGGGUAGGAGGGCUGGAAAGAGGAAUUGCCGUUUUAUUCUUCCAGGACUGUUGAGUGGGCAGAGGCAGGGAUAGGACGGAAUGUGAGGCUCAUGUCCCUUCAUAGAAAGGGCACUGUGGCCUAGCACGGCUCACCAACAUCUUUGCCAGUUCUCGGGCCUUCUCCUGGUCUGGGAAGACUGCAGCUCCCCCAAACUUAACAUCUACCACCAGAGUGGACAGUCCCUCCACGGCCUUCUUACUGAGGAUUGAAGCUGCGAAGACCAGAAACAUCAUCCCAGGGUAUACUUGGGCACAGGAAGAGUUGCCUCUCUGAGAAAAGCGGCAGUGCCUAGCGGACUGUCUGUCAGUCAGGGUACCCCGUUUCAGGUCACCUGUAAUGAGUGGGACACUGUCCACAGUGGCUGUCACAUCUCGUGCAGCAUACAGGAUCCCAUCAGCAGGAACCAGCUUUGCACUCUGGCCGACAAUGCAGCAGCCGACUUCCUCAAGGAUGUGCAGCAUCUGCUCAGACACCUUCAUUAACUUCUAGGGACGGACCCACCCACUGGCCCUGACCACUGACCCAACAGAAGUUCAAAACAUGGCCAGCGAGAGUCAGUAUGGUUCUGAUGGCUAACCUACCAAGGAUCCCGAUUAGUUAUGACAGACACAUUAAUGCGUACCAGCUAAUCAGUGGCUUCUCCCUGUUCCCAAGUAACGAUCCCGAUCAAAGUUCUCUCGAUGACUCCAGGCCUAUUUACAACCAAUGACCUUUUGAAUAGUCAAUGUUCUCUCUCAUUAGUGACCCAGAUAAAUAACCUGUCCAUUGAUCAUCCUGUGAUUCGGGCCAGUGACUCCCUCAACCCAGAUCAUUGAUCAGUUAGUGGCCCACCUGUACCUGCUCUGGGCUCUGGGUGACACCGAACCCAGGAAUCGAUUCCAGCUUAUCCAGUGUGCCCCCUGUGUGUCCCAGACUGCGGCCGCUGAUCAUUGGCACCUGGUGGAGAGGGAUGCUGACUGCCCCCACGCAGGCCCUUAACCUCAUUUUACCUAUCCUCUACUAAGAACCUAUCCUAUCCUCAUAUGAAAUUACUUUUAAAAAAGCAGUUAUAUUU
rnacentral:lncRNA from 1 species